rnacentral:rRNA from 1 species
UACGUAGGGGGGCAAGCGUUGUCCGGAUUUAUUGGGCGUAAAGAGCGUGUAGGCGGCCACACAGGUCUGCUGUGAAAACUCGAGGCUCAACCUCGAGCUGUCGGUGGAAACCGUGUGGCUAGAGUCCGGAAGAGGAGAGUGGAAUUCCCGGUGUAGCGGUGAAAUGCGCAGAUAUCGGGGAAGAACACCCGUGGCGAAGGCGGCUCUCUGGGACGGUACUGACGCUGAGACGCGAAAGCGUGGGGAGCGAACAGG